GAUGAAGAACGUAGCGAAAUGCGAUACUUGGUGUGAAUUGCAGAAUCCCGUGAACCAUCGAGUCUUUGAACGCAAGUUGCGCCCGAAGCCAUUAGGCCGAGGGCACGCCUGCCUGGGCGUCACACGUCGUUGCCCCCCCAUCUACUCCUUCGGGAUUGCGGGGGGCGGAUGAUGGCCUCUCGUGCGCCUCGUCGCGCGGUUGGCCUAAAUGCCAAGUCCUCGGCGACGCACGCCACGACAAUCGGUGGUUGCGAAACCUCGGUUGCCUGUCGUGUGCGGUCGUCGCGCAUCGAGGGCUCGAAAAAAUUGCCGGGCUUCGGCUCGCCUUUCAACGCGACCCCAGGUCAGGCGGGGUUACCCGCUGAAUUUAAGCAUAUCAAUAAGCGGAGGA
rnacentral:misc_RNA from 1 species